UGAGCAAUACUUCAUUUUCAUUCAAUACUUCAAUAGUUCAAUUAUUAUUCAAUUAAUUAACAUAUUUGUUUUUAGAACGUUUUUGACUUUUUGGGAAGCUUGGCAAUGAAAUUUUGAAACAGUGGUGAAUUGGUAAACUACUUAACUGGCAGAAUUGCAGGUGGUGAUUUGGUUGCAGUUAAGAAUGCUUUUGGCCUUUUUGGAAGCUUUCAAUAUACAAACUACUGCUUUGAAUGUGAAACUGUCCACUGCUCUGCAUCCUUGAAUCCUUGAUUAUGG